rnacentral:rRNA from 1 species
UGGGGAAUUUUGGACAAUGGGCGAAAGCCUGAUCCAGCAAUGCCGCGUGUGUGAAGAAGGCCUUCGGGUUGUAAAGCACUUUUGUCCGGAAAGAGAUCCUUGGCUCUAAUACAGUCGGGGGAUGACGGUACCGGAAGAAUAAGCACCGGCUAACUACGUGCCAGCAGCCGCGGUAAUACGUAGGGUGCAAGCGUUAAUCGGAAUUACUGGGCGUAAAGCGUGCGCAGGCGGUUUGCUAAGACCGAUAUGAAAUCCCCGGGCUCAACCUGGGAACUGCAUUGGUGACUGGCAGGCUAGAGUAUGGCAGAGGGGGGUAGAAUUCCACGUGUAGCAGUGAAAUGGCGUAGAGAUGUGGAGGAAUACCGAUGGCGAAGGCAGCCCCCUGGGCCAAUACUGACGCUCAUGCACGAAAGCGUGGGGAGCAAACAGGAUUAGAUACCCUGGUAGUCCACGCCCUAAACGAUGUCAACUAGUUGUUGGGGAUUCAUUUCCUUAGUAACGUAGCUAACGCGUG